AGUCGAGCGAAUCGAUGGGAGCUUGCUCCCUGAGAUUAGCGGCGGACGGGUGAGUAACACGUGGGCAACCUGCCUAUAAGACUGGGAUAACUUCGGGAAACCGGAGCUAAUACCGGAUACGUUCUUUUCUCGCAUGAGAGAAGAUGGAAAGACGGUUUACGCUGUCACUUAUAGAUGGGCCCGCGGCGCAUUAGCUAGUUGGUGAGGUAAUGGCUCACCAAGGCGACGAUGCGUAGCCGACCUGAGAGGGUGAUCGGCCACACUGGGACUGAGACACGGCCCAGACUCCUACGGGAGGCAGCAGUAGGGAAUCUUCCGCAAUGGACGAAAGUCUGACGGAGCAACGCCGCGUGAACGAAGAAGGCCUUCGGGUCGUAAAGUUCUGUUGUUAGGGAAGAACAAGUACCAGAGUAACUGCUGGUACCUUGACGGUACCUAACCAGAAAGCCACGGCUAACUACGUGCCAGCAGCCGCGGUAAUACGUAGGUGGCAAGCGUUGUCCGGAAUUAUUGGGCGUAAAGCGCGCGCAGGUGGUUCCUUAAGUCUGAUGUGAAAGCCCACGGCUCAACCGUGGAGGGUCAUUGGAAACUGGGGAACUUGAGUGCAGAA
rnacentral:rRNA from 1 species